rnacentral:rRNA from 1 species
CCUACGGGAGGCAGCAGUAGGGAAUAUUGCUCAAUGGGGGAAACCCUGAUGCAGCAACGCCGCGUGGCGGAUGAAGGUUUUCGGCUCGUAAACUCCUUUUGUUAGAGACGAUAAUGACGGUAUCUAACGAAUAAGCACCGGCUAACUACGUGCCAGCAGCCGCGGUAAUACGGAGGGUGCAAGCGUUACCCGGAAUCACUGGGCGUAAAGAGCGCGUAGGCGGGAUAGCAAGUCAGAUGUGAAAUCCUAUGGCGUAACCAUAGAACUGCAUUUGAAACUGUUAUUCUAGAGUAUGGGAGAGGUAGGUGGAAUUCUUGGGGUAGGGGUAAAAUCCGUAGAGAUCAAGAGGAAGACUCAUUGCGAAGGCGACCUGCUAGAACAUAACUGACGUUGAUGCGCGAAAGCGUGGGGAGCAAACAGGAUUAGAUACCCGUGUAGUC